AGACUUGGCCAACGUGGGUCAAAGUGUAGUAUCUGUUCUUGUGAACUUAAUAUCUGAUAUGGGUCCUGUUUGGACCCAGGAUAGUAGACUUAUUUUUGCAAGUCGGCGGAGUGCUUGAAGCCUGCUUCACCUCCACUGCGGGUCGGCCUGGUAUUGCACUAUCUCCGGGAUUGGUCCAUGGUUU